rnacentral:rRNA from 1 species
UAGGGAAUCUUCGGCAAUGGACGAAAGUCUGACCGAGCAACGCCGCGUGAGUGAAGAAGGUUUUCGGAUCGUAAAACUCUGUUGUUAGAGAAGAACAAGGACGUUAGUAACUGAACGUCCCCUGACGGUAUCUAACCAGAAAGCCACGGCUAACUACGUGCCAGCAGCCGCGGUAAGACGUAGGUGGCAAGCGUUGUCCGGAUUUAUUGGGCGUAAAGCGAGCGCAGGCGGUUUCUUAAGUCUGAUGUGAAAGCCCCCGGCUCAACCGGGGAGGGUCAUUGGAAACUGGGAGACUUGAGUGCAGAAGAGGAGAGUGGAAUUCCAUGUGUAGCGGUGAAAUGCGUAGAUAUAUGGAGGAACACCAGUGGCGAAGGCGGCUCUCUGGUCUGUGACUGACGCUGAGGCUCGAAAGCGUGGGGAGCAAACAGG